CGCAUAGAAGUAAAGAGAUAGAGCUGCAAUGUCGCUCCCAAGAUUCAGCUUGAAGACUGUUUGAAUUUGUUGUCUUCAUCAUUUGAGAUGGCAGCAAUUCGCGCUUAUUGUCUUUGAGUGCACUUCUUGGAAGUGAGCACUGCGACCGGUAUCUGUGCCGGUAGAAGCCUGUUUAAUCGAGGACAGACCAAUUCGGCAUCUGCUUCCUAUUUUUCAGAAUCUACCUGGUUGCGGAAACCGUGUAACUUUUGCGUCGGCUGUCUCAGAGAGUGUGGUGGGGCAUCAUUUGCACGUCUGUAGCCUGCUUGCAAGCUAUGGUAACCCGUGGUGUCUUUCACUGUGCUUUUCUGAAUUGGCGCAAGGUGUCUGCAGUGUAUGUGUCAGCCACCUAUCUCACCCGUCUUGAAACACGGACCAAGGAGUCUAACAUGUGCGCAAGUCAUUGGGUGGUAAACCCAAAGGCGCAAUGAAAGUAAGCUUCUCACGAAGUUAGGCAAGAUCCCUAGUUUACUGGGGCGCAUUGCUGUCCUGUCUUAUUUGCAUUGUCAUUUAGGCAGAGAAAGAGCGUACAUGUUGGGACCCGAAAGAUGGUGAACUAUGCCUGAGCAGGAUGAAGCCAGGGGAAACCCUGGUGGAGGUCCGUAGCGAUUCUGACGUGCAAAUCG
rnacentral:rRNA from 1 species